GACGAACGCUGGCGGCGUGCUUAACACAUGCAAGUCGAACGGAAAGGCCCUGCUUUUGUGGGGUGCUCGAGUGGCGAAAGGGUGAGUAACACGUGAGUAACCUGCCCUUGACUUUGGGAUAACUUCAGGAAACUGGGGCUAAUACCGGAUAGGAGCUCCUGCUGCAUGGGGGGGGGUGGGAAGUUUCGGCGGUUGGGGAUGGACUCGCGGCUUAUCAGCUUGUUGGUGGGGUAGUGGCUUACCAAGGCUUUGACGGGUAGCCGGCCUGAGAGGGUGACCGGCCACAUUGGGACUGAGAUACGGCCCAGACUCCUACGGGAGGCAGCAGUGGGGAAUAUUGCACAAUGGGCGGAAGCCUGAUGCAGCAACGCCGCGUGCGGGAUGACGGCCGUCGGGUUGUAAACCGCUUUCGCCUGUGACGAAGCGUGAGUGACGGUAAUGGGUAAAGAAGCACCGGCUAACUACGUG
rnacentral:rRNA from 1 species